rnacentral:lncRNA from 10 species
AUUAUAAGUUUUCUAAUUAUGUAAGUCAAAAGUAGAAAAAGGGACACAAACUAAGAAGGGUGCUGAGCGCUCGUCACCUGGAGGGACUUGUGCCUCUCUCAGUGGUAGUAGAGGGGCUACUUCUUCCUGCCACGGUCAUGAUUGAGAGGCAAUGGGUGGCGAGCCUACAGGGGACGUCGUCGAGGAGACAUGGGAUAACUUUAAGGGAGAAGGGUUUAAGGAGUGAGAGCAGAGCCAAGUCCUGGAGACGCUGAACUUGCUGUCGCACCGGAAAACGAGAUGUGCGGGGUAGGGGGCAGGGACAAGGUGGAAAAGGACUACUCGGAUCAUUUUUAAGAUGGGAGAGUAGCCACAGAGGAACAGAGUAAGAAUCUAAACGAAGUAAAGCAGUACGGGCGUACAUUUCUUUACAUAGUGUUCUACUUCAGGGCACAGGAAAAGUUACAGAAUGACAAAAGAGGCAGACAAGGGGAGGGGUUCCUGUGAUGGGAUCAGUCAGAUGCCUGCCUGGCCGCUCCCCGUGAGGGGACUUGGGCUCCUCUUAGCAUUGGCAGGCCGGUAUAAACUUCCGGCUCAGAUUGAGCUAUGCCUGAUGCUGCCUUAAGCCUUAUGAGGUCGCCAAGGAACCGCAGGAACUCCUGGAGGGCAGAGCUGUGUCUGCCAUCUUCAUCAUUGCAUUACCACCACCCAGCACAGUGCCUGGCACAAAAGAGUUGCUCAAUAAAUAAAUCAGGAUGAAUGAAUAAACACAUGGAUAGGCACUUUGAACUACAGAUGAGUUUAAAUACUUUGUGUUUUUCUUAGUCAAACAUGUGCAAUUAAGCAUGUGAUAAAUGAUAUGAUGACCACAU